rnacentral:rRNA from 1 species
UACGGGGGGGGCAAGCGUUGUUCGGAAUUACUGGGCGUAAAGGGCUCGUAGGUGGCCAACUAAGUCAGACGUGAAAUCCCUCGGCUUAACCGGGGAACUGCGUCUGAUACUGGAUGGCUUGAGUUUGGGAGAGGGACGCGGAAUUCCAGGUGUAGCGGUGAAAUGCGUAGAUAUCUGGAGGAACACCGGUGGCGAAGGCGGCGUCCUGGACCAACACUGACACUGAUGACGCGAAAGCCAGGGGAGCAAACGGG